AAAAUAUUUACAUAAUAGAGAAUUAGGUGAAAAUCCUAAACGGUCCCGCCGCUGUAAAGUGGAGUAAUAAUUGCUAAGAUCACUGUACUAUUGUAUGGGAAGAUAAAUUAUUACAAUGAAGCUAAGUCAGAAUACCUGCCUUGUUAUGU
rnacentral:ncRNA from 1 species